AUGUUCUUCAUGUUCAUCGCGGGAUCCGCUCCUUUCGUGAAAGAUCAGCCAUCUAGUGUUCCAGCCUACACCAUGCUGCAUGGUUCCAGAGUCGGUUGGGCUUCAUCGAUCGUUGGAGACGUGCCAUCACCUCAGAAAAUACAACCACCAUCACAAGAGGAAAUAAAACGACGUGUUGCCCACAAGGAGAACAAGCGCAAGGAGCACAUUCCAAGCGAUGAUACGGUUGUUCCUUCCACUAGUAGGCGUACUAUGACAACAACAUCCAUUUGUGUGAGGACUACAUCACCUCCACCAUGUGACACAUCACCAUCGAGAGUGUCUACAUCAUCUAAGUCGAUUGUAAUAGGUAACGACAAAGGUACCGAUCUUCCACCUCCACAUGAGUAUGAUGCAUGCCUUGUCAAUUCAAAUGCACCAUGCAAUGAGCUACCCACUACUUUGAUCACACCAGUUAUUUUAGAGGACUAUGUUGAUGAUUUGACUUUGCCAUGCGAUCACAAUUUUGAGUGA
rnacentral:rRNA from 1 species